rnacentral:rRNA from 1 species
CCUACGGGAGGCAGCAGUGGGGAAUUUUGGACAAUGGGCGCAAGCCUGAUCCAGCCAUGCCGCGUGCGGGAAGAAGGACUUCGGGUUGUAAACCGCUUUUGUCAGGGAAGAAACGCUCUGGGCUAAUACCCUGGGGUAAUGACGGUACCUGAAGAAUAAGCACCGGCUAACUACGUGCCAGCAGCCGCGGUAAUACGUAGGGUGCAAGCGUUAAUCGGAAUUACUGGGCGUAAAGCGUGCGCAGGCGGUCUUGCAAGACAGAUGUGAAAUCCCCGGGCUCAACCUGGGAACUGCAUUUGUGACUGCAAGGCUAGAGUACGGUAGAGGGGGAUGGAAUUCCGCGUGUAGCAGUGAAAUGCGUAGAUAUGCGGAGGAACACCGAUGGCGAAGGCAAUCCCCUGGACCUGUACUGACGCUCAUGCACGAAAGCGUGGGGAGCAAACAGGAUUAGAUACCCUGGUAGUCCACGCCCUAAACGAUGUCAACUGGUUGUUGGGAAGGUUCCUUCUCAGUAACGUAGCUAACGCGUGAAGUUGACCGCCGUGGGGAGUCGGCCGCGAGUUGAAACUUCGAAAGGAAUUGACGGCUUGAGACGNGCGACGACGACGACGAGGAGGAGG